rnacentral:lncRNA from 1 species
ACUCAGGGCAGAAAGCUGCCAUGCAUGAGAAGCCCUAAGGAGAGGCUCACGUGGCAAGAAAACUGAUGACUCCAGUCCACAGCCAACAUGAACCUGAGGCCUGCCCAGAGACACACAGCAGCUAUAUAGUGAACAGUUACUAAGAACCAACUAACUGCAAAUACUAUUUAGGACUAUACCAUAUAAAAAUACGUGGAAAUCCAAAGACAAAUGGAAUAUCAUUCAGAACAAGAUCACAUCAGAAGUCUGAAAAGCCUUAAAACAAGACUCAGGAAACUGUCACCAUGUGAUAUGGACUCUUCUUAUUGUGCAAAGUCAAACUAAUGAACAAUUUUGGAUGGAGACCCAAAAAAUACAGUGGACACCACAAAACCAUAAUAAAA